rnacentral:lncRNA from 1 species
GGCCAGGCCCCAGUGUUCUCCAUUGGGCCCCCUGCGCCAGCUGACUGGGCUUUAACACUCCGCUGCCAACUCGUUCCUGGCCCGAGCCUGGUCUCGGGCCGCCCCGGCGCAGCCUGCGGCGCCCGCUCUUACAUCCUGCCCGCAAGGGAUCCGUGCACCUGAGGCCACAGCACACCUGCUGGCCCUUGGGCCUCGAGCGGGGAGGAGGGUCAGGGUCAGCUCAACUCUUGCCCGAGGGUCCAUGUGAGAAAGACGUUGGGCACCAGGAUCAGCUCCCCGAAGCCAAAUCCUUGAGCCCACCUGCCCAGUGGACGGGACACAGGCCAAGUCCAUCCUGCGCUGCGCGGAAAAUAGAAGAGGAUGACAACUUCCCAAGGAGCCCAGGAACUCCUGGAGCAGGGCUGGUGGGAACUGGCCUGGGGACAGAAGAAGACAGCCUUGUUCCAUCCUGUGCUAAAGCCAUGCCAGUCCCCCACAAACCCAGGGCACAGCCACACUGGGUAGUGAUCACAUGGCCCCAGAGUGUUCUGAAAGGUCCAGAUAUGGGGCUUCAACUGUCCAGGAGGGCAGGCCAGGGAAGACCUGCCCCAGCCCACAGCUCGUGCAUGCGCUGCACGAGGUGUUUGUGCACCCCCAAACUCAGCCCUCAUGAUGCACCCCAUGGGAUACCACCCUGUUGUAUGGGAGAAGCAGUAAAAUGCCUACGUAGUCCUAGGUGGGGCUCUGAGAUCGGUUUAGUCCGGGAACUCGGCAGAAAUGCGGCCACUUCACAUAGUCCGUCCACUGUCCAAGUAGUCCUGCUGCUCCCCCUGCUGGCCAGACGAGGAACUCGGCCCGCGGACAGCAGCAGCCCCACCAGCAAGUGGCUCGCUCACCCUCCUGGGGACGGCAGUAAGGAGUAGACUUAGUGUCUUGAGCUCCUGAAAGUGAGAUGUUUCUUCGGUGACCGGCAUUAGGGACUCUGGCUAGCACAUAUGACAGGCAAGUACUUCUGCGAGCACUGGUAAUAAGGAAACCUGCCAGAGGAGAUUAAAUCCUCCCUGAAGAUCCAGGUGGUCAACGCAGAGUGAAUCCACACAAUCCAAUUCCCCGCCCGAGCUCCCAGCCUGAUUCCUGAGCUCUACUGUGGGAAAGAUCCACAAAUCAUCACAGAUACGGUCCCAGCCCUCCUGGACGCUUGUUCUUCGGGGAAACCGAUGCAGUUAAACCAGCUCAGUUCUGGAGGAGCCAUACAUGUGCCUGUCCCUGCAACACCCCCACUACUGGUCGGUCCAGCUGUAGAGACUGAGGCUCCCCGCGGGAACCACAAAAGUGCGG